UUAGUCCUCUUUAAUUUUUUUCCUAUCAUUAUGGUCAAUAGCAGUAGGAAGGGUAAGAAAAAGGUUAGAAUAGAUGAGCCCCUUUGGGAUAGUCGAUCGGAUAAUCCGAUUGACGAUUCUCUUUUGAGUUCGGACGUGAAAGUUUUUUCCUUAUCCAGAUCCAAUAUUGAUCGGCUCCGAAAACAAUAUCAUAUCCCGGAGCAAUUUCAGUUCUUUGCGUCUGGUCCAGAUGGUCGGGUGAGUUCUUUUCUUCCGGAUCAGGUGAUAAUUUAUGUGGAGGACCUUCAGACUGGUCUUCAUUUUUUGAUUUUGGAGUUUAUCCAAAAUCUUUUUGAUUAUUACGGUCUUUGUCCUGUCUAGUUAGCCCCGAACUCCAUUCGAUUAAUCAUCAGUUUUACUUUAUUAUGCCAUAUGAUCCCGACCAACCCUCGGUGUUCUCUUUUUCGUACUUUUUUCGUUCUUCGUCCUCACCCAAAAGCCAAUGAUUUGUGGUUCUUCAAUCUAAGAAAGGUCUGUCCUUUAUUUCUGACAUUCCUUCAUCCAUUCACAGGUGGAAGAAUCAAUUUUUCUUUAUUUCUUCUUCUCUGCCUUGAGGCUUUCCUUCCUCCUGGAGAAAUCCAAGGACAAGCCUUAAGAGCAUAGUCUGGUCGAAGUCAUCAAUCGAGAAGAUUUUAUUCGACUGAAAGAUAUGGAAGUUCCUGCGCAAUGGGAGCUGUUGAUGGAACAAGCUCUCUACGACACCGGACUUAGUUCGGUAACUUCCCUAGGUAUAGCUUAGUCGAUCUUUUAUUUUUAUUUUUCAUCUGGCUUUGAACUUUGUAAACGAAUUGUUGUCUUUUGAUUGCAGCUAUGUGACCAGCGGUGUGAGUCUCAACAGUUGAUGUCCAACAAUAUGCCGCCAAAAAGAGAGCUGCAGCUGGUGCAGGGCCAUCCCGAGCACCAAAGAAAAGCCAGUCCGACACAUAGUCGGCGACAGCGAGGGAGACCGACACUCCAUUGGUAGUCGUUCUGAAAAUCAAACCUGUCAUCGCGCUGUCGGCUCUGAUAGUACUUCCACUAGUCGAAGCACCUCUGCCUGUCGUGCUUGUUGAACUACCACCAGCUAAAACAACGUUGGCCAGUGUAGAGUCGAUGGAGUCUCAAAAAAUUCUUGCAUCCGAACCAGGACCGGCCACCGCGAUGUUGACGGUAACUCAGGCACCCUCAACGGGGCUGACACUAUUUCGGGCACCCUCAACGUCCGAAUGGAUGGUGGCUUCAAGCAAGCGACCAUGCAUUGGAGAGUGGGGAAAGGCACCAGCUUUAUUGGUGGACGACGAGUUGUCGACGGGCUUCACAGUGCUCUUCGACGUCCGAAUUUCUAUAGGUGAGUCAUCCUUGGUGAACCCAAAAUUAGCCAAGUGACUCAUUGACGCUGCACUUCUCCUGACUAACAGGGAGAGCAGAAAGGAUCGAAUGGUGUCGAAGAUAUUUUCAUCUUUUUAUCCGAUAAUGCUCAGCCUGGCGUAUAACAUGCAGGCCUUGGAGAGCGGAUAUCGAAAAAUUACCGACUUUCACCGAAUGUGGAUACAUAAAGUUGCGGCCGCCAAUGCCGAAAAAGUUGCGGCUAUUGAACGGCUCCAAGCGGUGACUGAGCGAGAGGAGAAGUAUCAAGAGAAGAACUCUCGCAUGAAGGCGAAAUUGGCGUUGGUAAGAGUCGAGCUAGAAUCGGCAAGGGGCGAGUUACAGUCGGCCCGUGCUGAGUUAGAAUCGGCACAGUAGACCGUCAAGUCUCAGGAGUCCCGAAUUAAAAAGAAGAAAUAUGAAGUUAAUCGGCUCUAUAAAGAACGUGACGGCUGCACCAAAGAAUUAGAGGAAGAACAGAAGAAGCAUUGGACCACUGAAGCAAGGUUGGCACUGGUCGAUGCAGAAUCGGCCUCCACUAAGGAGGAAGCACAGUCGGCCAAGGAAGCUCUCAGUCGGGCGCGGGAGCAGGCCAUCGAGGAUUAUAAGGAGUUCGAAGACUUCAAAAAUGAAAUCCUCGAGGGUGGCGGCACAUCUUAUUAUGUCGGUUAUGAGGAUAGAAGGGAUGUGGUCGGAAAACUUUAUCCUGAUUUAGAUCUGAGUAACAUGAUCGUUCCAGCUGGUGCGCUAGGAGAGGAGCCAGCCGAUGAUAUAAUAGCCCCAAUUGAAAAAGUUGCACUGGUUAUGAUAGAGUCGGCCCCAGUUGUAACUGUACUAGAGUCGGUUAGGGUUGAGUCGGCUAUUAUCGAAGGCCAUGAAAUCAGAGUUGCGACGGCUACUGACACAGUCGAGGAAGAAACUAAUUGGUGAUCGGUAUAGAUAUCUUUUUCUUUUUUUCUUGUAAUUAGACGAUAGCCCAACUCACCUUUUGUAAUCAGACUUUGGAUCCAAUUUUGUAAUUCUUUGCUCAUGAAUGACAAGAAAAGUUUU